rnacentral:misc_RNA from 1 species
CAGCGCAUGCGGCGAGCACUGCCACGUUCACACACACACACACACACACACACACACACACACACACACACACACAGGUCUGUCCCCGAAAGCGGCGUUGACAAGAUUAUAACAGCACUUCAGAACACCGAAGCACCUUUACGAAGACACCGAAACGGCCCAGAGGACAAACUCCGUGGAGGAGAUACCCUUUCCCCUCUGGCGCGCUUUGGCUGUCGAGGCCCCCUCCCUCAUCAACCCCACGCUCCCGGGGCUGCCGACUCCCGACAUUGACUCGCACCCGCCCUUUCGCAGGAAGCAGACGCGACCGCAUUGCUUUGCCUGUCUCGUCCCCGCCAGCAUGUCGCAUACCCGUUCUCUUUCUCCUCGUCUUCGUCCUGCCAUGAGCGCUUCCCGGAGAGAGCAUGUGCAGCGCGGACGGGCGUGCUACUUGUGUAUGUAUACCUCUCCCUCGUACUUUUCACGCAUCCUUCCUCACUUUCCUCGCUCCUCCCUUCACUUAUCCUCUUUUCCCGCGUCGCUGCGGCUGCCCCGCCCUUCGCCCGUGAAACUCCAAG